rnacentral:rRNA from 1 species
UACAGAGGUGGCAAGCGUUGUUCGGAAUUACUGGGCGUAAAGGGCGCGUAGGCGGUCUUUUAAGUCUUGUGUGAAAUCCCUCGGCUCAACUGAGGAACUGCACGGGAUACUGGAAGACUUGAGUUCGGGAGAGGGAAGCGGAAUUCCGGGUGUAGCGGUGAAAUGCGUAGAUAUCUGGAGGAACACCGGUGGCGAAGGCGGCAUCCUGGACCGGCAUUGACGCUGAGGCGCGAAAGCUAGGGGAGCAAACGGG